rnacentral:rRNA from 1 species
UACGGAGGAUGCGAGCGUUAUCCGGAUUCAUUGGGUUUAAAGGGUGCGUAGGCGGGAUGAUAAGUCAGGGGUGAAAGCCAGCAGCUCAACUGUUGAAUUGCCUUUGAUACUGUCGUUCUUGAAUAUGGUUGAAGUGGGCGGAAUGUGACAUGUAGCGGUGAAAUGCGUAGAUAUGUCCCAGAACACCGAUUGCGAAGGCAGCUCACUAAGCCAUCAUUGACGCUGAUGCACGAAAGCGUGGGGAGCAAACAGG